UACGUAGGGUGCGAGCGUUAAUCGGAAUUACUGGGCGUAAAGCGUGCGCAGGCGGUUUUGUAAGCCAGAUGUGAAAUCCCCGGGCUUAACCUGGGAAUGGCAUUUGGGACUGCAAGGCUUGAGUGCGGCAGAGGAGACUGGAAUUCCUGGUGUAGCAGUGAAAUGCGUAGAUAUCAGGAGGAACACCGAUGGCGAAGGCAGGUCUCUGGGCUGACACUGACGCUCAUGCACGAAAGCGUGGGGAGCAAACAGGAUAGAAACCCCGUGUAGUCCAGAUCCA
rnacentral:rRNA from 1 species